AUUGAACGCUGGCGGAAUGCUUUACACAUGCAAGUCGAACGGCAGCACGGACUUCGGUCUGGUGGCGAGUGGCGAACGGGUGAGUAAUAUAUCGGAACGUGCCCAGUCGUGGGGGAUAACGUAGUGAAAAUUACGCUAAUACCGCAUACGAUCUACGGAUGAAAGCGGGGGAUCGCAAGACCUCGCGCGAUUGGAGGGGCCGAUAUCAGAAUAGGUAGUUGGUGGGGUAAAGGCUCCACAAGCCAACGAUCUGCAGCUGGUCUGAGCGGACGACCAGCCAAACUGGAACUAAGACACGGCCCAGACUCCUACGGGAGGCAGCAGUGGCGAACUUUGGACAAGGGACGCAAGUCUGAUCCAGCCAUUCCGCGUGCAGGACGAAGGCCUUCGGGUUGUAAACUGCUUUUGUACAGAACGAAAAGGUUUCUAUUAAUACUAGGGGCUCAUGACGGUACUGUAAGAAUAAGCACCGGCUAACUACGUGCCAGCAGCCGCAGUAA
rnacentral:rRNA from 1 species